UCAGGUACUUAGUGACUCUC
rnacentral:miRNA from 4 species